rnacentral:rRNA from 1 species
UACAGAGGUCCCAAGCGUUUGUUCGGAUUCACUGGGCGUAAAGGGUGCGUAGGCGGGUCUUUAAGUCAGGGGUGAAAUCCUGGAGCUCAACUCCAGAACUGCCUUUGAUACUGAAGAUCUUGAGUCCGGGAGAGGUGAGUGGAACUGCGAGUGUAGAGGUGAAAUUCGUAGAUAUUCGCAAGAACACCAGUGGCGAAGGCGGCUCACUGGCCCGGUACUGACGCUGAGGCACGAAAGCGUGGGGAGCAAACAGG